UUGACCUCGGAUCAGGUAGGGAUACCCGCUGAACUUAAGCAUAUCAAUAAGCGGAGGAAAAGAAACCAACAGGGAUUGCCUCAGUAACGGCGAGUGAAGCGGCA
rnacentral:rRNA from 3 species